UACGUAGGCAGCAAGCGUUGUUCGGAGUUACUGGGCGUAAAGAGUAUGUAGGCGGUUAUCUAAGUCUGGUGUGAAAUCUCCCGGCUCAACUGGGAGGCUGCAUUAGAUACUGGAUAGCUUGAGCGUGGGAGAGGAAAGCGGAAUUUCUGGUGUAGCGGUGAAAUGCGUAGAUAUCAGAAGGAACACCUGCGGUGAAGACAGCUUUCUGGACCACAGCUGACGCUGAGAUACGAAAGCGUGGGUAGCAAACAGG
rnacentral:rRNA from 1 species